rnacentral:rRNA from 1 species
UACAGAGGUCUCAAGCGUUGUUCGGAUUCAUUGGGCGUAAAGGGUGCGUAGGCGGUCAGCACAAGUCAGUUGUGAAAUCUCCGGGCUUAACUCGGAAAGGUCAACUGAUACUGUGCGACUAGAGUGCAGAAGGGGCAACUGGAAUUCUCGGUGUAGCGGUGAAAUGCGUAGAUAUCGAGAGGAACACCUGCGGCGAAGGCGGGUUGCUGGGCUGACACUGACGCUGAUGCGCGAAAGCCAGGGGAGCGAACGGG